rnacentral:rRNA from 1 species
CGGCGGACGGGUGAGUAACGCGUGGGUAACCUACCCUGUACACACGGAUAACAUACCGAAAGGUAUGCUAAUACGGGAUAAUAUAUUUGAGAGGCAUCUCUUAAAUAUCAAAGGUGAGCCAGUACAGGAUGGACCCGCGUCUGAUUAGCUAGUUGGUAAGGUAACGGCUUACUAAGGCGACGAUCAGUAGCCGACCUGAGAGGGUGAUCGGCCACAUUGGAACUGAGACACGGUCCAA